AUGGCAGAAAGCAGAAGCGCCGGGAAAGACAGCUGGCGACUCUUGGCGAGUUCUGCUUCUUCUUCUUCCCUCGGAUUCGGCAUAGCCUUCUUCAGAUUAUUCAUCCUUGUCUUCGUCUCUGUCUACCAGAUCGGAUCCAAUCAAAGCUGUUCGUCCCCCUUCUCGACGUUCCCGGAGGGUGGCUCUUCACUUGGUGUUCACUAUUCUAAGGUCUUGGCACUAACAAUGGCACAGACUUUCACUUCGACUUAG